rnacentral:rRNA from 1 species
CCCCUAGUAACUGCGAGUGAACCGGGAUGAGCUCAAAUUUAAAAUCUGGCGGUUCUGCCGUCCGAGUUGUAAUCUGGAGAAGCGUUUUCCGCGUCGGACCGUGUACAAGUCUCUUGGAAUAGAGCGUCAUAGAGGGUGAGAAUCCCGUCCAUGACACGGACUCCCGGUGCUUUGUGAUACGCUCUCAAAGAGUCGAGUUGUUUGGGAAUGCAGCUCAAAAUGGGUGGUAAAUUCCAUCUAAAGCUAAAUAUUGGCGAGAGACCGAUAGCGAACAAGUACCGUGAGGGAAAGAUGAAAAGCACUUUGGAAAGAGAGUUAAACAGUACGUGAAAUUGUUGAAAGGGAAACGCUUGAAGUCAGUCGCGUCGUACGGAGCUCAGCCUUGCUUCUGCUUGGUGUAUUCUCCGUGUCGACGGGUCAACGUCAAUUUUGACCGGUGGAAAAGGGCCUAGGGAAUGUGGCGUUGUUUCGGCGACGUGUUAUAGCCUUAGGUCGUAUGCAUCGGUUGGGAUUGAGGACCGCAGCACGCCCUUGUGGCCGAGGGUUCGCCCUACGUUCGUGCUUAGGAUGUUGGCAAAAUGGCUUUAAGCGACCCGUCUUGAAACACGGACCAAGGAGUCUAACAUGCCUGCGAGUGUUCGGGUGGAAAACCCUUGCGCAUAAUGAAAGUGAAAGUUGGGAUCCUUCGUAAGGGGGUGCACCGACGCCCGGCCCUGAAGUUCUCUGACGGUGCUGCGGUAGAGCAUGUAUGUUGGGACCCGAAAGAUGGUGAACUAUGCCUGAAUAGGGUGAAGCCAGAGGAAACUCUGGUGGAGGCUCGUAGCGAUUCUGACGUGCAAAUCGAUCGUCAAAUUUGGG